UCGGACACGACUAGACUUACUGUCAGGGUAAAACCUUUACCUUUUUAUAGUCUGAUUGAAUAUGAGGAGGAACGUUUUGACAAUGGAACCAACUAAUUAUGAAGUGUUAUGAUUGAGCCUCAUGGCUCUGUUACUGACAGGCGUGGGCGUAAGACUCCUCGAGAGUCGGAUACUCUCGAGGAGCGAGAGAGAAAAAGACUGCGAGACAUAUUUGCAGCACCAUCUGAUGAAGAGUCUUUCGAGGGAUUUACGGAGAGAAUGGAGGAGGGGCAGGUUAGCUCGGAGGAGGAUGAGAUGGAUUGGACUCGGGUAAGGGAGGAAUUGGGUGCCACUGGCCAUGAUGGGGCAGAAGAUGAAUGGGGACCUUCAGGAUCAGAUCCAUGGCUUAGCUGGAGGGAUGGGACGGGAUCCACAGCUGGAGAUGCUGCUGGGCGUAGUCAGAGGUGUUCCAGCUCUGACGAGGAAAGUGAUGAGGAAACGCCCGGGUUAAGGAGGACAGCUGACAGUGAUGAAGAUUUGUAACUGGCAUAAAAUGGGGCUUGGGAGCAAUUGCAAAUUGCGUUGGGCAAGGUAAUCUGGGCAAACGCUUGGGAUCCGUGUGUGUGUGGGACGCUUCCCUGAAGACUUGUGUGCUUUCCUGUGCUGAGACCUUGACCUUCCGUCGUCUUCUUGACGGACGCCAUCUCCUGCUUUGAAUACCCGGACUGAACUGACCACGGCUUGGCUUCAUCCCCUUCUUGGACUUGGGAAAACUACAAACGUCUGCUUCUGGCUUUGAACUACGGAACGGAACUGGUCUACUCUUCUGCUGCAUUCCCUAGCUGAUCUGUUCGUGCUGGAAAUCCUGUCUGCUGUGUGUGUGUGGGAGCGACGCAAGUUACUCUAAACACUGUGUUGGCAGCAGAGAGGAAUCUGCUGCCAAUUAGCUGCAUUCUUUGUAUCUUUUGUUCUUGGCUCUCGUUUUGUUUAUAUUCAGGCUGAAGCAAGCAGUUUGUUUUUUACCCGGAUUAAACUCCGGUUUAAUUCGGUUUAUCUUUUGAACAUUUAUUUUGCCCCUUUUUGCUCCUAAAGGCAAAUACUGCCUGGCCCUUGUGUUUUACGGGCUUGUUUUGAGUUUUGUAACCUAAUAAACUUUGUUACUGUGAA